GUCUACUGCCAUGCCACCCUGAGAUCAGCCAGAUGUCUGAUCUCAGGAGCUAAGCAGGGUUGAGCCUGGUUAGUACUUGGAUGGGAGACCACCUAGGAAGACCAGGAGCUGUAGGCA
rnacentral:rRNA from 1 species